ACAUCUUUCACUAUCCCAGGGGGCUCUAAGCCCCAGUGUCCAGCCUGGCCUUGGGCACUGCCAGGGAUCCAGGAGCAGCCACAGCAAAUCUGGGAAUUCCAGCCCAUCCCAUCCCCACCACCCCAGGCAGGAAUUCCUUCCCAAGAUCCCAUCUAACCCAUCCCAUCUCUGUCGGGGGGAAUCCAUUCCCCCUUGUCCCACCUCCACAAUUCCUGACAAAGAGCCUCUCUCUGCCUUCCCUGGAGGCCCCUCCAGAUCCUGGAAGGAGAUCAAUGAAUAUUUCAUCUGUAUUUUGGGAGGUUCCAUCAAAGAUCAUGCGGAACAUCCUAAUUCCAGCUCUAGGGGAGGUGUCCCUGCCCAUGGCAGGGGUUGGAACGAGUUCAUCUUCAAGGUCCCUUCCAUCCCAAACCAUUCCAUGACUCCCUGGUCACUGCCUUGGUGUGUUUGGAGCUGGACAAAGGCAAACCCCUUGUUCUGAGAGGUUUUCCAUCCGUAGGGGCACAGAAGGGCUGGAUUUUGGGUUAUUCCCUGUUGGGAAGUGAUUUAGGGUUUGAAAUAGCCAAACUGGGGGAUUGAAAUAUCCAAACUGAGGAACUGAAAUAUCCAAACUGGGGCAUGGAGGAGGAGAGCGAGUUGGUUCUCACGAUCUAUUGGAAUCUGGAUGAGGACAGCCAGAGCUGUCCAGCCUUCCUGAGCCGUGCAUUGGUCCUGGAUAUUGGGAGAAGAAGAUCCUGGAGGGACACCUGGAUGGUGGAACAGGGAUGAGAGAUUCUGGGACUGAUGAGUUCUUGGGUUCUUCAGUCCUCCAGAGCUGAAGAAGAUCCUGGAGGGACACCUGGAUGGUGGAACAGGGAUGAGAGAUUCUGGGACUGAUGAGUUCUUGGGUUCUUCAGUCCCCCAGAGCUGAGGGAACUGGAUUUGCCCAGGAAGACAGUAAGAUUUGGAAAACCCUAAACCAGGAACAUCUUGGGCCUUCCGUGGAAGAUUCUCCCAUCAUCUCCUUGCCAGGGAGUCUCCCAAUUCCUCCCAAUCCGUUGGCUGCUCUCCUGUGGUUCCAGAGCUUUCCUUGGGUCCCACUGGGUGCUGCUCGGGAUGAGGCAAUCCUGGAUCUGCCACUUCCACGGGACGUUGGGGACAGGCCCCCUGCGUGCCUCGGCACGCCACCCCAAAGCCGAUUCUCCGUGCGAGUUUCCCACAGCCAGAGGAAUUCCUUGCAGGAGCCACGCCUGGUGAACUGGUUUAACACCAGUUUGUUAAACGGGAGAAGCCGAUAGGGACUGGAACCCGCUGGAAAACACCGAGCCCAGCCCAACCUGAACAUCUGCACCCCGGGCAAAAGUUCCCUCUGAGGAGAAGGUGACAAAUGUCACCUCCAGCACUCCCAGCGUGCCCAUUCCACGCUGGGGAAGGGAGCUGGGAUCCACGGCAGGAGUCCCACGGAGAAUCCCAGUGCUGGCUCGAGGAACUCUGCAGGAAGGGGAUGAAAAUCAUCCCUGGGUGCAGGGCUGGGAUGAAUCCGGGCUCUGAAGCCCCUCUGGAAAUUUUGGGUGGGUUUUUUUGGCUGUUUUCCUGGCAACAAAUCCACCCUCAUCGUUUUUCGCUCGGAACAAGUUUUUC
rnacentral:lncRNA from 12 species